UCUCUCUCACACACACACAUGCACACACAUGUUAGCACACAUGUAUGCAAGCAACACAUGCACAUGUCUAACCACACUUGCACACACAUGAACAUGCACACAUAUACAUAUAUACAUGCACAGACAAGAAAAUUAUGAUUGAAUCAUUUUAUUAGGAAACUUACUCCAAAUAAAAUCUUGUAAGAUACUCUACAGCAGUGAUUUCUCAACCUUCUUGAUGCUGUGGCCCUUUAAUAGAGUUCCGCAUGUUGUGGUAAGGUCAACCACAAAGUAUAAAAUUAUUUUCAUUGUGACUCCAUAACUAUUAUUUUGCUAGUUAUAAACUGUAAUAUAAAGAUCUGUGUUUUCUGAAUGUCUUAGGUGACCCCUGUGAAGGGGUCAUUAAACCCUCAAAGGGGUUGCGACCCACAGGUCUAGACAUUUAGGUAUUUAGAUAUUUUAUGAAUGAUGAAGUGGGAAUGGGAAAAGUUUUGGAUUGUAAUCUAAAAGCAUUUCCAGUUUGUGUCUGUGCAGAUGGCAUACAAAUGCAUCCAUGAUACAGGUAGAGAGGCCAGGGAACACACCUGAAUCUGAAUGUGGAACAGCAGCCGUCUCAGCCCUUCCCACCACCUUCUGUGUGAGCACGGGACAAAACAUUUAGAGAUUGAAGGUUGGUAUGCUGAGUUGCUGGUGACUAAGCAAAGCCUGACACAGCUUCACAAGAGGUCCCUCAAACUCUGACCACCAUGGAGACUUGGCAAUCCAUUCAGACUGCUUUGAGAAGCAGUUCAAAAGUGAUUUGUAUUCUAUGAUUCUC
ensembl:processed_transcript predicted gene 15270